rnacentral:rRNA from 1 species
GACGAACGCUGGCGGCGUGCUUAACACAUGCAAGUCGAACGUAAAGGCCCUGCUUUUGUGGUUUGCUCGAGUGGCGAACGGGUGAGUAACACGUGCGUAUCCUGCCCUUGACUUUGGGAUAACUUCAUGAAACUUGGGCUCAUACCGGAUUGGAGCUCCUGCUGCCUGGUGGGGGUUGGAGCGUUUGGGCGGUUGGGGAUGGACUCGCGGCUUAUCAGCUUGUUGGUGGGGCAGUGGCUUACCAAGGCUUUGACGGGUAGCCGGCCUGAGAGGGCUACCGGCCACAUUGGGACUGAGAUACGGCCCAGACUCCGACGGGAGGCAGCAGUGGGGAAUAUUGCACAAUGGGCGGAAGCCUGAUGCAGCAACGCCGCGUGCGGGAUGACGGCCGUCGGGUUGUAAACCGCUUUCGCCUGUGACGAAGCGUGAGUGACGGUAAUGGGUAAAGAAGCACCGGAUAACUACGUG